UCUUCAACAGCAUGGACAUGAAAGAUCUCUUCCAUUUCUGCUGGGCAUCUCACAUUACUUACCAGUCCUUUAAAGGCAAGUUAAGGACAAUUUUCAUGUCCUACUUCUCUGAAGGAAACAUGUGGCUGGGUAUAUUAUCGGAGCAUUGUAAAAGAAGAGCAAUUCUUUACCAACUCAUGGAAAAACAAUGUGUUUUUGUUCUUGGCCAGAUUCCCCAAAGAGAAUUUAAUUUCAAGACACCACUGACAGUCCGAGAGGAUCCAGCUGCUGGUUGUACCUGGAUUUGAACUCCAGAAGAUAACAGAGCUUUGGUUAAGAGUUUUAGUCACCAUGCACUGUUUCAUCUUGGAAAACACAUACCAAAAGAAAACUGCUCCUAAGUGACUGCAACUGCACAGGUAUCAAAACAUGCCAAUAGCAAGACUAACAUUUCCCAGACCAAAUGUUCAAAACUGUUUCUAUUUUAUCUGAAUAAAAAUACCUGUAUGCUCCUCCAUCCUCCAGCAUGCAAAUCUUAAAAAUACCUUUUCUUGUUUGUCCCCCACAGGGAGCAAUUCAAGUCUACCAAACAGUCUAGCAAAAUAUUAUGAUAACCUUUUCUAUCCUAAUUUGUACUGGAGGCUGUGUGUGUGCUAGGAUCAACAUUAAUUACUGUAU
rnacentral:lncRNA from 1 species